GAAGUGUCUGCCAUACUUACAUUUGGAAAGAGCUUAUGGAAUCAUGAGGUCUGUAGACAGGUAUUUGGAGAUGCCAGUACCUUUGUAGAAGAAUGAA